rnacentral:lncRNA from 1 species
UGUCAAGCCCGCGCCCCCGCGGCCAGCAGCCAGUCUUGGGAACCCUGGCCAGCGUCCGCGCCUCGCGCACUCCUCAGCGGAGACGACAACGGAGAAAAAGCGGGGGCACGGACAGACAGUCAGACAACCCGGAGUCGCCUCGGGGCUCCUAGACCUCGACCUCCGGCGUCCCAUCACCAGGCAUGCCGGAGUCGCCCUCAGUCCACUUGAGGGAGCCCCGCGAUCCCGUUAGGAAACAACGGAGGAUGGGGCUGACCGACCCAAGCCGGGCUCCCCGUGCCUGGCCAAGCGCUCCCCUACCCUGGAUAGCCUGCCAGCUUUUCCCAGGACCCUGCCUGAGAGACACCCACCUGCCCGGCCUUUCGGGGCUCAUCUAAAAGGCUCCUCCGCCAAGACUAGGGGACACCAGGAAUUAGGUUUGUUUGCGGUGCCUCAGAAGGGGCAAGAUGGCGACAGAUACCAGAGCGCAGGCGCAGGCGCGCGCGGCUCGCCGGGAGGUGUAGUUCGCCUUUCCCGCCUUUUGAGAAACGAGCACUCAAAAGCCUCCAUUCUUCCUGUCCCUUUUCCUCUGCCUUUUGAAAGGAAAGGGCGGACAACGCGGGUCCUAGUGGGAGUUGUAGUCCGAGUCCAACCUCGCUCCUCUUUCUCUUGCUGCUUGCUGGUCACAUGCGCAAGGAAGUCUGGGAGUGUAGUUCCUUUCGGCUUCUACAUUACCCUCCAGUCUCCAGCUUCGCGCGCCUAUCCUCCGGUCUUUCCCAGCCAAUCAGCUGCUCUUUCGGCUGUACGUGUGGCGUCACACGUAGCGGUCAAGAUGGCGUCUGUAAUUGGAGCUGAGCUUCGACCUUUUCACUCUAGCGAGGGUUGGGAUGAAAAGAACACAGCUUGGUCCCUGAUGCCCAGUUGAGGAUUAAGAUCUGGUUCCGUAGACGCUUGGGAGUAGUCAUCAGCGUCUUCCAGCCACCCAAACGACAACUCAAGAAAGGUUAUCCACUACGGAGAGAGAAGACCUCACAGUGGCCCGUACACCUUUCUCGGUGUUAGGAGUUGCAAGUGGAGGAAAGGAAUCCGAGCGGUCUCAGCUUGGAGUUACGCCAUGUACGAAGUAGGAGAGGUAGUGAUAUCUCGUGCAAAAUCUGACAAAGGGAAGAAGGGACUUACUUGAGGCACUACGACAUGGACUGUAGAAGUGGAAGAAGAUGAGGAAUGCAGGGUCAGACUGGACUGCAAGAGACACCGAGACCAAAACAAGAAAAAAGAAGAAGUUUUUAAGUAAAUUGUGAACCACUGCAUAUGAGUCUACUCCUGCUCCUGAAUGGAGCUGUAGGUUAGUCAGAAAUAAAAAGGACCAUUUCCU